rnacentral:rRNA from 1 species
AUUACUCCUACGGGAGGCAGCAGUUAGGAAUCUUGCGCAAUGGGGGAAACCCUGACGCAGCCAUGCCGCGUGAAUGAUGAAGGUCUUAGGAUUGUAAAAUUCUUUCAGCGGGGACGAUAAUGACGGUACCCGCAGAAGAAGCCCCGGCUAACUUCGUGCCAGCAGCCGCGGUAAUAAU